UGCGAAGGGGGCUAGCGUUGUUCGGAAUUACUGGGCGUAAAGCGGGUGUAGGCGGAUCGCUAAGUCGGGGGUGAAAGCCCAGGGCUCAACCCUGGAAUUGCCUUCGAUACUGGCGGUCUCGAGUUCAGGAGAGGUGAGCGGAAUUCCGAGUGUAGAGGUGAAAUUCGUAGAGAUUCGGAGGAACACCAGAGGCGAAGGCGGCUCACUGGACUGAUACUGACGCUGAGACCCGAAAGAGUGGGGAGCAAACAGG
rnacentral:rRNA from 1 species